AUGUCCCUCCGCUGCCGCUGCAAGUCCCGCUGCCGCCGUCUUCUGCAUCGACAUGGGUAUACUGCUGCCUCUGUUCUUCAGAGACGAGCAGCUUGCGCGCCCUGCGUUGACUCCUCGUCUCGUGGAUCCAGCCGGCCUCGUUCCGAUCCCAAGCCCAGCGCCUCCCCAACCCACAUGUGCAGUCUCCGCGUGGCCCAGAUCCGCCAAACCAGGCCUUGGGCCGCCUUCCCACGCCGGCCUGCUCCACACCAUUGUCCCGCGUGGGCUACUCCCCCUCAACGACCCGAUUUGGCCCAAAGUGAGCGGCCCCUCUCCACUCCCUCUCCUGUACACUAUCGGGCCAACCAGAUUCGGCCCAAUGUGUUUUUUCCCUUGUCUGUGAUUUUAGCAAUUAAUCCUGAGACAACAGUUUUGCAGAAACACCCUUGA
rnacentral:rRNA from 1 species